rnacentral:rRNA from 1 species
CUUCAGCCGGUCUACACCCGCAAGUUGACCGCCAGCCGUCGCGCUGCCUUCUUCUCCUCUGCCGGUAAAUAAAACCCCACGACAAGGAAAAAAAAAACUCUUUUCUACUAACACGCGCAGCCUCAGCGAAGCAGCUCAGCGGCGACAACAAAAGAGGGGGCCCUUUCCGUUGGUCGCCACCGCCACCGCCACCUCGCCUCGGCCCACCCCCCGCUCCUCCGCACGCCCGCGCGGGAUCUCGCGCUCGCCCCGAGGAGGGCUCUCCCGCAGGGUUUGCGGCGGGCGAUGGCGAGCCGGGUGAAGGAGGACGAGAAGAACGAGCGGGUCAUAAGGGGGCUGCUCAAGCUGCCCGCCAACAAGAGGUGCAUCAACUGCAACAAUUUGGGACCACAAUAUGUCUGCACAAAUUUCUGGACCUUCGUUUGUACCAAUUGCAGUGGAGCACACCGAGAGUUCACUCACCGGGUGAAAUCUGUUUCCAUGGCUAAAUUUACCGCACAAGAAGUCACUGCUCUACAAGGAGGAGGAAAUGAGCGUGCUAGAGAAAUAUUUUUCAAGGAGUGGGAUUCUCAGCGUAAUCCAUACCCUGACAGCAGUAAUACGGACAAAUUGAGGAAUUUCAUCAAGCAUAUUUACGUGGAGCGGAGAUAUACAGGAGAAAGAAGCUCUGAUAGACCACCGAGGGGAAAGGACGAUAAGGAUGAACAUAGCGAAAAUAGAAGAUCUGAUGGAAAUCGGGGUGGUUCAAGAAGUCCACCAUACAAUGAAAGUUACUCUGACCGUCGGAGUUAUAGUGGACGGAGUGAUGACAGAAAUUCCAGACAUUCCUAUGGAGAACGUAGUCCUGGCUAUGACCAGAAUGACUAUAAGAAAAGCCCCCGCCACUUUGAAGCUGUCGACGAUAGAUCUGGGAAAACGACUCCAGUUCAAAGGUUCGAGGACCGCAGGUUUUCUGAACCACGAAAGCCAGAGACUGGGUCUCCAAAUUACCAGAGAGAAGCCAACGGAUCUAGUCCUCCUGUUGUACGGCCAGUGAGGGAGAUAUUGGGUGAUGAUGCUCCUCAACUUCGGAUUGGUGAACCUCCAAAGCCGAAUGUAGCCAGACCGAUUGAUCCUCCAAAACCAAAUGGAACCAGGACCAUUGAGCCUCCACCUCAGGCACAGAGGACAUCUACUGCCAGCAGUAUUGGUUCUUCCGAGGGGAUUUCGGAACAGACGAAGGCAGCAACUCCAGUCAGUUUAAUUGAUUUUGGUGCAGAUCCUGAACCCACUGCAUCUGCCCCGCCAUCACAGACAGCCCCUACACCCCAACAGCAGCCAGUUAGUGCACAGCCUAUUAACGCAACAACGCCGCAACAUGUUCUUGAACAAGGCAAAAGUGCUCCAUCAGCAAGCGGCGGUGAUUGGGCAUCUUUUGAUGCUUUUGGCCAGCAGCAACAAACACCACAAGUAGGCAGCACCGUAAAUCCACUUGAGUCUGUGCUUGCACAACUAUCAUUCUCCGAAACACCCUCUGCCUCCAAUACGUCAGCCUUUUCAACUUCUGUUGAUCCGCAAGCAAAUGGAGGACAGCUGUCCAUGAUAGAUACAUCACAUUCUUCAUUAUUUGGUCCACCCGUUGGAAUCUCAGGCAAUCAGGUCUCAACAGGAAUGCCUGUCCAAGGAUCUGCAGUUCAUCAAUCUGCUGUGGCUGCCUCUAUGGGUGGUCUUCCAUCUCAAUUGCCUUCAAAUUCUCAAGGAACCAGUGGUAUUCAAGAAGCAACGUCUUCUCAUGACAGCAAAUCCAGUGGGCGGACAGUACUGCCAGUGGAUUUCUUUACUUCACUAUAUCCAUCAGCAACUCCAGCAAUGCCUGGCUGGCAGAGAGCUCCCCAGUCUGGAAUGGGAUUUGGCAUGCAGUAUCCUGCUGCAAUGUUGCAGGGAAUGCAGUCAUAUCCUCAGGCAGCAUUUUCUCAACCUACAUAUCAACAACCUAUGUAUCAGCAACCUACAUACCAACAACCUACGUAUCAACAGCCUGUAUAUCAGCAAAAUGCGUAUCCCCAACCUGCGAAAGCUUCAAACCCUUUUGACCUCGGAAAUGAGGCAGCCCCAAUUCAAGCUCACAUGUCCCGACCACUGGGAGCAUCAUCAGGCGCUACUAACCCAACAUUAGUUGGUAACUCUAGUUUUGGAGUUCCACCUCAGCAGCCUCAGCAGAUGUAUCAGCCAUCUGUACAUCAAAACCAUUACAUGAUGCAGCAUGUUUCAAACAACAUGCCUGAGCAGCUACCUAAUGGCAUGCUUCCAAGGCAACAAGGAGGUGCUGGUUCCCUCGGCGUAGGCUAUGAUCAACAAGCUGCUCCUAGGUAUUCCCAGCCAAACACCCCACCGUCCUAUGGUGCUGUGGGUGGAAAUCCUUUCGGGUAAAAGGCUUAUCAAAUGUGGACGUACCAUGUUACCUGUUUAUGGUAUCUUGUGUAUCUUCAGACCACUGGUUUGUGGUGCCCACUGCCCAGUGAGAUAAGAAUGCACAAAGCCCUGGAGAAAAUUUGUUUCAUAUUACUGGUUAUGUGUUUGUCACUGUAGCUCCAUGUAACUUGAUCUGGAAGGUGGAAGCGAUGUGGGGCAUAAGCUUCAGGAGCAGGAGUUCUGCGGUUCUUCUAGCCCCUAUUUUCUUGUAUAUUUGUGUUUGGUGUUCUGUGUGCGUUGCAUCCGAUGUAUAUUCACAGAGACCCUAUGCCUUGUAUGGUUUUUGAUUGGGAUCUUUCGAGCGGCCAUAUCUGAUAGUGUACUUAGUUCAGAAUGUUAUUUUUAGUCCAGCUGGCUAUUCAAUUUUAAUGUUUAUUGCAAUGCAUGCCUGAAGGAUGUAUAAUUGUGAUUAAUCAGUUGUUUUGGUCUCAUGCUAUUAUUGCAUUAUAUGGAUCCUUUCUUCCAGGCAUGGUUGUUUUCCUUGCUAUUUCUUGGGAGGAACGAUCUAUACACACGAGUUUGAACAACAAAUACCCUUGGAUUGGACUUUGCCCGCUUGUUCCCUCCGAGCCCUGGGGUUGGUGCUUGGCUCGGGUGCAGACUUGGAGCUUGAGGUGCUUGGCUUGGGUGCAGACUUGGAGCUUGAUCACCAAAUCACUAAUUGUGGACUACUCAUUGCAAAGAUCACUCUCAUCUUCCUAG